rnacentral:rRNA from 1 species
UAAGGCUGAGACUUGAUGCAUACCCGUUGUGGGGAAUUCAGUGAUCCUAUGCUGCCGAGAAAAGCCUCUAGUGAGUUCAUACACGGCCCGUACCCCAAACCGACACAGGUGAUCAGGUAGAGAAUACCAAGGCGAUCGAGAGAACUGUGGUUAAGGAACUCGGCAAAAUGCCCCCGUAACUUCGGGAGAAGGGGGACCAUGCCCGGUGAACAUCUUCACGGUGGGAGCUGGGUGUGGUCGCAGAGACCAGAGAGAAGCGACUGUUUACUAAAAACACAGGUCCGUGCGAAGACGUAAGUCGAUGUAUACGGACUGACGCCUGCCCGGUGCUGGAAGGUUAAGAGGACCGGUUAGCCGUAAGGCGAAGCUGAGAAUUUAAGCCCCAGUAAACGGCGGUGGUAACUAUAACCAUCCUAAGGUAGCGAAAUUCCUUGUCGGGUAAGUUCCGACCUGCACGAAUGGCGUAACGACUUCUCUGCUGUCUCGACCACAGACUCGGCGAAAUUGCACUACGAGUAAAGAUGCUCGUUACGCGCGGCAGGACGAAAAGACCCCGGGACCUUUACUAUAGCUUGGUAUUGGCGUUCGAUUCGGUUUGUGUAGGAUAGGUGGGAGACUGUGAAGCAUGCACGCCAGUGUGUGUGGAGUCGUUGUUGAAAUACCACUCUGAUCGUAUUGGACGUCUAACCUCGGCCCAUGAUCUGGGUUAGGGACAGUGCCUGGUGGGUAGUUUAACUGGGGCGGUUGCCUCCUAAAGAGUAACGGAGGCGCCCAAAGGUUCCCUCAGCCUGGAUGGCAAUCAGGUGUUGAGUGCAAGUGCACAAGGGAGCUUGACUGUGAGACUGACACGUCGAGCAGGGACGAAAGUCGGGACUAGUGAUCCGGCACCGGCAAGUGGAAGCGGUGUCGCUCAACGGAUAAAAGGUACCCCGGGGAUAACAGGCUGAUCUUCCCCAAGAGUCCAUAUCGACGGGAUGGUUUGGCACCUCGAUGUCGGCUCGUCGCAUCCUGGGGCUGGAGUAGGUCCCAAGGGUUGGGCUGUUCGCCCAUUAAAGCGGCACGCGAGCUGGGUUUAGAACGUCGUGAGACAGUUCGGUCUCUAUCCGCCGCGCGCGUAAGAAACUUGAGGAAGGCUGUCCCUAGUACGAGAGGACCGGGACGGACGAACCUCUGGUGUGCCAGUUGUUCCACCAGGAGCAUGGCUGGUUAGCUACGUUCGGAAGGGAUAACCGCUGAAAGCAUCUAAGCGGGAAGCCUGUUCCAAGAUGAGGUUUCUCACCACCUUGCGUGGUUAAGGCCCCCUACAGACCAUGGGGUUGAUAGGCCGGAACUGGAAGCGCAGCAAUGCGUGGAGGUGACCGGUACUAAUAGGCCGAGGGCC